rnacentral:rRNA from 1 species
CGAAGGGGCAGCAAUGUCACUGUCGUACGGGUGCGUAACGCGUAUGCAACCUACCCAACACUGGGGGAUAGCCCGGGGAAACCCGGAUUAAUACCGCAUAAAACAGGGGCACCGCAUGGUGAUAUUUGUUAAAGAUUUAUUGGUGAUAGAUGGGCAUGCGUUCGAUUAGCUAGUUGGCGGGGUAACGGCCCACCAAGGCGACGAUCGAUAGGGGAGCUGAGAGGUUGAUCCCCCACACGGGCACUGAGAUACGGGCCCGACUCCUACGGGAGGCAGCAGUAGGGAAUAUUGGGCAAUGGAUGCAAGUCUGACCCAGCCAUGCCGCGUGCCGGAUGAAGGCCCUCAGGGUUGUAAACGGCUUUUAUUCGGGAAGAAGAGCAGGGAUGCGUCCUUGUGUGACGGUACCGAAUGAAUAAGCACCGGCUAACUCCGUGCCAGCAGCCGCGGUAAUACGGAGGGUGCGAGCGUUGUCCGGAUUUAUUGGGUUUAAAGGGUGCGUAGGUGGCCUGUUAAGUCAGUGGUGAAAUACGGUUGCUCAACAAUCGAGGUGCCAUUGAUACUGACCGGCUUGAAAUAAUUGGAGGCUGCCGGAAUGGAUGGUGUAGCGGUGAAAUGCAUAGAUAUCAUCCAGAACACCGAUUGCGAAGGCAGGUGGCUACGAUUGGUUUGACACUGAGGCACGAAAGCAUGGGGAGCAAACAGGAUUAGAUACCCUGGUAG